rnacentral:rRNA from 1 species
AUUGAACGCUGGCGGCAGGCCUAACACAUGCAAGUCGAACGGUAACAGGAAGCAGCUUGCUGCUUUGCUGACGAGUGGCGGACGGGUGAGUAAUGUCUGGGAAACUGCCUGAUGGAGGGGGAUAACUACUGGAAACGGUAGCUAAUACCGCAUAACGUCGCAAGACCAAAGAGGGGGACCUUAGGGCCUCUUGCCAUCGGAUGUGCCCAGAUGGGAUUAGCUAGUAGGUGGGGUAACGGCUCACCUAGGCGACGAUCCCUAGCUGGUCUGAGAGGAUGACCAGCCACACUGGAACUGAGACACGGUCCAGACUCCUACGGGAGGCAGCAGUGGGGAAUAUUGGACAAUGGGCGCAAGCCUGAUGCAGCCAUGCCGCGUGUAUGAAGAAGGCCUUCGGGUUGUAAAGUACCUUCAGCGGGGAAGAAGGGAGUAAAGUUAAUACCUUUGCGCAUUGACGUUACCCGCAGAAGAAGCACCGGCUAACUCCGUG